GUGAGUAACACGUGGAUAACCUACCUAUAAGACUGGGAGUAACUUCGGGAAACCGGAGCUAAUACCGGAUAAUAUAUUGAACCGCAUGGUUCAAUAGUGAAAGACGGUUUUGCUGUCACUUAUAGAUGGAUCCGCGCCGCAUUAGCUAGUUGGUAAGGUAACGGCUUACCAAGGCGACGAUGCGUAGCCGACCUGAGAGGGUGAUCGGCCACACUGGAACUGAGACACGGUCCAG
rnacentral:rRNA from 1 species